rnacentral:rRNA from 2 species
UCGAGCGGAUUGAUGGGAGCUUGCUCCCUGAUAUCAGCGGCGGACGGGUGAGUAACACGUGGGUAACCUGCCUGUAAGACUGGGAUAACUCCGGGAAACCGGGGCUAAUACCGGAUAACUCAUUUCCUCGCAUGAGGAAAUGUUGAAAGGUGGCUUCUGCUUACCCUUUCCAAAGGGACCCCCGGGCCUUUACUUAUUGGGGGAGGAACCGGUCCCCCAGGGCAACAAUGCUUACCCAACUUGAAAGGUGGAUCGGCACCCCGGGAAUGAAAACACGGCCCAAAUCCCUACGGAAGGAACCAGAAGGAAUCCUCCCCCAUGGAACAAAAGCCUAACGAACCACCCCCCCUGGAGGGAUGAAGGUUUCCGAACCUAAAACUCCUGUGGUUAGGAAGAAACAAUGGCCGUUCAAUUAGGGGGGCACCUGGCCGGAACCUACCCAAAAAGCACCGGUUACUUCCUGGCCACAACCCGCGUAAUUACUAAGUUGGCAGCGGUUGUCCGGAUUAAUGGGGCGAAAAGCCGGCGCAGGUGGUUCUUAAGUCUGGAUGUGAAGGCCACCGCUCCACCCGCGAAGGUCAUUGGAAACUGGGGAACCUGAUUGCAAGAGAAGAAAAUGGAAUUCCCAGUGUUACCGUGGAAUGCCUAAAAUUUUAGAAGAACCCCCAUGGGCGACGCAACUUUCUGGCCUGAACCUGAACUUAAGGCGCGAAGCGGGGGAAGCAAACGGAUUAAAUACCUGGUUAUCCCACCCCGAAAACAAAAAAUGUAAAGGGUUAGGGGGUUCUCCGCCCUUUAUGUUGUAUUUAACGCAAUUAAAGACUCCCCCUUGGGAG